rnacentral:rRNA from 1 species
AGAGUUUGAUCAUGGCUCAGGACGAACGCUGGCGGCGUGCCUAACACAUGCAAGUCGAGCGGAAAGGCCUCCUUCGGGAGGUACUCGAGCGGCGAACGGGUGAGUAACACGUGGGCAACCAACCCCUCACAUCGGGAUACCCCGGGGAAACUCGGAUCAAUACCGGAUAAUGCGCGACGCUGUUGGGCGUCGCACCAAAGGUAGCUUCGGCCUCUGGUGAGGGACGGGCCCGCGGCCCAUUAGCUUGUUGGUGGGGUAACGGCCUACCAAGGCAACGAUGGGUAGCUGGUCUGAGAGGAUGAUCAGCCACACUGGGACUGAGAUACGGCCCAGACUCCUACGGGAGGCAGCAGUGGGGAAUAUUGCGCAAUGGGCGGAAGCCUGACGCAGCAACGCCGCGUGCGGGAGGAAGGCCUUCGGGUCGUAAACCGCUUUCAGGGGGGACGAAGCCACCCGGGUUAAUAGCCUAAGGGGUGACGGUACUCCCAGAAGAAGCCCCGGCUAACUACGUGCCAGCAGCCGCGGUA